rnacentral:rRNA from 1 species
UACGUAGGCAGCGAGCGUUGUUCGGAAUUACUGGGCGUAAAGAGUGUGUAGGCGGCGCUCUAAGUUCGGUGUGAAAUCUCCUGGCUCAACUGGGAGGGUGCGCCGGAAACUGGAGUGCUUGAGCGUGGGAGAGGAAAGCGGAAUUCCUGGUGUAGCGGUGAAAUGCGUAGAUAUCAGGAGGAACACCUGUGGUGUAGACGGCUUUCUGGACCAUAGCUGACGCUGAGACACGAAAGCGUGGGUAGCAAACAGG